AGAAUCAACGCUGGCGGCGUGCCUAACACAUGCAAGUCGAACGAGAAAGUGGAGCAAUCCAUGAGUAAAGUGGCGCACGGGUGAGUAACACGUGACUAACCUACCCUGGAGUGGGGAUAACUGAGGGAAACCUUAGCUAAUACCGCAUAACACCUACGGGUCAAAGGAGCAAUUCGCUUUGGGAGGGGUCGCGGCAGAUUAGCUAGUUGGCGGGUAAUGGCCCACCAAGGCAGUGAUCUGUA
rnacentral:rRNA from 1 species